UUGAUCCUGGCUCAGGAUGAACGCUAGCGGCAGGCUUAACACAUGCAAGUCGAGGGGUAUAAGUCUUCGGAUUUAGAGACCGGCGCACGGGUGCGUAACGCGUAUGCAAUCUACCUUUCACAGAGGGAUAGCCCAGAGAAAUUUGGAUUAAUACCUCAUAGUAUAAUGAGAUGGCAUCAUCAUAUUAUUAAAGUCACAACGGUGAAAGAUGAGCAUGCGUCCCAUUAGCUAGUUGGUAAGGUAACGGCUUACCAAGGCUACGAUGGGUAGGGGUCCUGAGAGGGAGAUCCCCCACACUGGUACUGAGACACGGACCAGACUCCUACGGGAGGCAGCAGUGAGGAAUAUUGGACAAUGGGCGCAAGCCUGAUCCAGCCAUGCCGCGUGCAGGAUGACGGUCCUAUGGAUUGUAAACUGCUUUUGCACAGGAAGAAACACUGAUUCGUGAAUCAGCUUGACGGUAUCCUAAG
rnacentral:rRNA from 1 species